GUUCAACUUUUUUGGAGCUGUUGCGCUGUUGUACGUCGCCUUGAGAAAUAUAUAUAUAUGUCUGUAUGUAUAUAUACACACGUUGUGAUUAUAUUUACCACCAUACGGCAGAUCAAGCAUCGAUAUUUUGAUGGGGGACGCCAGAACGCUAGCCUACCGUCAUCUGAAGGUAAUGGUUGCGCGCAGGCCCUGGCAGACUUAAAACAACUCAUUGAGAGGAUUCACCAGGAGCGACCAAACCAGGAACUCUGCGUCAGCCUGCCACUACCCAGAGCCCCGAACCGCCGACACCGAGAAGUGAACAAGUUCGUACACUGGUUCAAUAGAGAAGCAUCCCCUUUCGUAAACCAAGUGCACCGCCUCUGCCAUCGAAAGGAAUUGGGUCGCAGUGUCUUCUAUCUCGACCACGCCUUCCAUGAGAUGCCCCCUCGGAGGGUCCUCGCCGCCGACGUCCUUCACCCCAGCUUCAAAGGCAUGGCAAGGCUGGCUCUUCACUAUCGAGGACUGCUCAUCACUAGGACCAGCCGCUAACACCUGCAGAACUUAGAGCUGGCCAGGAACACUGCCCUGACUGGUUCCGGCUCCCCAGUGCCUGCCGAAAGCACCACCUCGGAGGGCUCUCCCUCAUUGCGCGCACCCGUGCCACCUGUUCCGAAGCUUGCCGACGACGGCCUACAACCUCCGAAGUUAUUCCGACGCCGCUUGACAACCAGUACAGCCAAAAGUGGACUGCCAAAUAGUUCAGGCGCUUCAGGCAGCAACACUAAUAGGGCAAGAUUCCCACACCCACACCGUCAUUCUGGUGACAUGAGGCAGGAGGCGACAGGAGGUGACAGGAGGCGACAAAGGCAAGUCCGUUUCGAGGAACGUAGCUUGUGUGUAAAGAAAUCUCAACUGCAUUAGCACAUGUAAUAAACAAAUUAUUUAAAGAUGGGAUCUUUCCUAAUAGCCUCAAAAUUGGAAAAGUUAUUCCUGUGUUUAAAAAAGGUGACCAUAAGUGCAUGAGUAAUUAUCGUCCUAUCUGCAUUUUGUCUUUCUUUAGUAAAGUGAUCGAAAAGCUAAUCUGCAAUCGUCUAAGUAAAUACCUGUCCAAAUUUAAUCUUUUAACUCAUGAUCAAUUUGGUUUUCGCGAGAAUCUCUCUAUUGAACUAGCGCUUAUUACUUUUGAUGAAAGGGUUAAAUUAGCCAUCGACCAAGGGCUUUUAGUUGGUACUCUUUUUUAUUGAUUUCACCAAGGCAUUUGACUCCAUCGUCCAUCGCAUUCUUUUAAGCAAACUUGAAUCUUACGGCAUUUCUGGGCCACCUUUAGAAUUAAUUCGUAACUAUUUAACAGACAGACCAUAUAGAGUCCAAGUUGAUGGUGUUCUUUCUUCAUCAAAAAUUAUAAAUAUAGGUGUUCCUCGAGGAUCAAUACCUGGGCCGCUUUUAUUUCUCAUAUUCAUCAAUGAUUUGCCGCAAAUAUUAACACAUGCGCAUUGUCUUCUUUAUGCUGAUGACAGCACCAUUUUCACAUCCUAUAAAAGUUCUGUUGCAUUGCAGGAUAAACUUAGCGCAGACUUAGCAAAUGUUCAUUCCUGGUGCGUAAAGAAUAAGCUAACAAUCAAUCCAUCUAAGACAACGUUUAUGAUAUUCCAUUCCUCAAAAUAAUUGCUCAUUCAUUCUAUUACAGUUUCCUUAAAUAAUGAUGUAAUUGCCAGAUCCCCGUGUACUAAAUUUCUUGGUGUUGUUCUAGAUGAGAAAUUAAAGUUCCACUGCCAUACUCAAUCGCUUAUUAAAAAAAUCUCAUAUGGUAUUCACAUCAUCAUAAAAACUCGCUCUUACUUUCAUCGAAACAUCUUUAUGUCUUUACAUCACGCGUACAUACAGUCACAUUUCAUAUUGCCUUUCAGCUUGGGGUAAUACAUAUGACACACAUCUUCAUCAGCUUGAAAUCUUGCAAAAGCAGGCAUUACGAUUAAUUACAUUUCAACCGCAUACAUCUCCAUCUGCUCCCACAUUCAGUUGCCUAAAUGUCCUACCUUUGCGUAUGUUGUUACUACUAAUGUUUCGUCUCAUAAAUACCGAACUUAAUAUUCCGGGUUUUUCUUACUCCAGCCUCAUUAAUAACAAUAAUACAAGAUUUUCAAAACAACUUAAUCUACUUCUUCCUAAAGUCAGAACAAAUUAUGGGAAAUUUACCAUUGCAUUUUCAGGCAUUUCACUUUGGAAUUCAUUACCAUCAGAUAUCAAGUCAUCUUCAUUAUUAUCAUUCAAACGUAGAACUAAGGAGCAUUUCAUUAGCAUUUCGUCACACACCUAAAAUUCAUUACGUUUUUUUUUCUACAGCACACUCGGAAAAUGCACUAUUGCCUAUUUGUUAAGUGUUUGAAUUUUGCCUUUAUUUGAUGCUUGUUUGCAUUGCCGGUUGCACGUGACAUAUAUCCUUGUUUGAAUUUUGUGAAUUUGUAAUUUCUUCCAUUUGACUUUUUAAAUAUCUCAUUUAUCAUUUGUGAUUAUAAUAAAGAUUCUUUUAUUUAUGAUUAGUCUUCCCUUCUAUUACGGAUGCACUAGAAAUUAUAUAAAAUAUAUGACUCACUGUUUGCAGAGAUUCUUGUAACCCCCAUUUAGUUUUUAUUAGGAGGUCCCCCCGACAGUUUUUACUUCGGGACCUCCGAAUGUGCAAUUAUACGUCUACGUUCUUGUAUAUA